GACGAACGCUGGCGGCGCGCCUAACACAUGCAAGUCGAACGAGAGAGAAGGAGCUUGCUUCUUCGAUCGAGUGGCGAACGGGUGAGUAACGCGUGAGGAACCUGCCUCAAAGAGGGGGACAACAGUUGGAAACGACUGCUAAUACCGCAUAAGCCCACGGGUCGGCAUCGACCUGAGGGAAAAGGAGCAAUCCGCUUUGAGAUGGCCUCGCGUCCGAUUAGCUAGUUGGUGAGGUAACGGCCCACCAAGGCGACGAUCGGUAGCCGGACUGAGAGGUUGAACGGCCACAUUGGGACUGAGACACGGCCCAGACUCCUACGGGAGGCAACAGUGGGGAAUAUUGCACAAUGGGGGAAACCCUGAUGCAGCGACGCCGCGUGGAGGAAGAAGGUCUUCGGAUUGUAAACUCCUGUUGUUGAGGAAGAUAAUGACGGUACUCAACAAGGAAGUGACGGCUAACUACGUGCCAGCAGCCGCGGUAAAACGUAGGUCACAAGCGUUGUCCGGAAUUACUGGGUGUAAAGGGAGCGCAGGCGGGAAGACAAGUUGGAAGUGAAAUCUAUGGGCUCAACCCAUAAACUGCUUUCAAAACUGUUUUUCUUGAGUAGUGCAGAGGUAGGCGGAAUUCCCGGUGUAGCGGUGGAAUGCGUAGAUAUCGGGAGGAACACCAGUGGCGAAGGCGGCCUACUGGGCACCAACUGACGCUGAGGCUCGAAAGUGUGGGUAGCAAACAAGAUUAGAUACCCUGGUAGUCCACACCGUAAACGAU
rnacentral:rRNA from 1 species